GGUUUUCAACAAAGAAGCGAGGGAAUAGAAUCGUGUUCAGGGGAAGCUCUCGUCUGAAGAGGACGGCCAAACAAAAACUGUGCUGUGCUGUUCAAAGAAAAUAAGAUAAUAAAAGAAUGAAUUCAAUUUCGUUGAAGCAAUUGCAUACUGUGAGCUCCCCUUGUCCCAUUCAUACUUCAAGGCAAAAACCAGUUCUACUACGAUGCGUCACCAAUCCAUUCUCCACUCCUCUCCACUCUCAUCUACCGACUCCACGUCAACGUCCCUCCAUCUUCCACUCCUUUCACUUUACAGAUCGGAACCCCAAUCUUCGUCUUCCAUGCGCACCUCUUCACUCUUCCGAUUCGCUUGCACCCGAUCCGUCUCACCCGCCCCAGGCAGUGAAGCGAAAUUCAGUGGCUAUUGUGGACAUUCUGAAGCAGGCAAAUUCAUUCCUUCCUCAUGUAGUCCUUGGCAGCACGCUGCUAGCUCUAAUCUUCCCACCUUCAUUUACCUGGUUUACCACCAGAUACUAUGCACCUGCACUAGGGUUUUUGAUGUUUGCAGUGGGGGUAAAUUCAAGUGAAAAGGACUUCGUUGAAGCUUUUAACAGGCCAGUAGAAAUUGUAGUUGGUUAUGUUGGCCAGUUUGUCAUGAAGCCCCUUCUAGGGUAUCUGUUUUCCCUAAUUUCUGUAACUGUAUUUGGUCUACCAACACCCAUAGGCGCAGGAAUUGCAUUGGUGUCUUGUGUUAGUGGAGCGCAGCUCUCGAAUUAUGCUACUUUCCUCACCGAUCCACAGAUGGCACCAUUAAGCAUAGUUAUGACAUCCCUGUCUACUGCAUCUGCGGUUUUUGUGACGCCCCUGUUAUCGCUUUUGCUCAUUGGAAAGAGACUGCCUGUAGAUGUAAAAGGAAUGGUGUUUAGCAUUACACAGAUUGUGGUGGCUCCUAUUGCUCUUGGCCUGCUUCUAAACCGCUUCCUUCCUCGUAUCUGUAAUGCUAUUCGACCGUUUUUACCUCCACUGUCAGUAUUUGUGACGGCUCUCUGUGUUGGAGCUCCUCUUGCAAUUAACAUUGAGGCUGUUAAAUCCCCAUUUGGAGCUUCUAUCUUGUUGCUUGUUGUUGGUUUUCAUUUAGCUGCAUUUGUAGUUGGUUAUAUCUUAAGUGGAUUUGUCUUCCAUGAUUCUCCUGAUGUAAAGGCAUUGCAGCGAACAAUUUCCUUUGAGACAGGAAUGCAAGGUAGCCUUCUUGCUCUGGCCCUUGCUAAUCGAUUCUUCGAAGAUCAACUAGUCAGUGUGCCUCCUGCAAUUUCUACCGUAAUAAUGUCUUUGAUGGGAUUUUCUCUUGUGAUGAUUUGGGCCAAGAGGAAAGAGUAAGAGGUUGAUAGUAAAGCCGAUGAAAGGUAUGGUUUGGGGUAUGUACUGCACAUUUUUUCAGGAGGCACCAAUAGCAGCCGGAGAAAUGUCAUUCAAAGCAGUUUUAACGUUUAGCUUUGAAAGUUUGAGGGAAAUUUUCAUGUAAGAAGGAAUGGACGAAGGAAACCCUUCACUGGUAGGUAGUUUAUUGCCGACGAACCCUGUGAUAUCCCCGGUCCUGGAGAUUACUUUGCAGUUUUGCAUUGUUUUUUUCUUUUGCAACACAACACACUCACACGCACUACACUACAUUGGUUCUUUUUAUCCACCAGUGGGAUUGUUUUCUUGGUCAAGUCCACCAGUGGGAUUUGAAAACCAAGCCUCCAACCAUACAUUUUUGUUUCGAUUCUUUUCAUUUUCUUUUUGGGUACAUUUUAUUUUGGACUUGCUAUGUUUGUUUUUGGGUACAUUGAUGAACGGGAAAUUGAGACUUCUAAGUUCUAAGAAAAAGAAAAUGAUCCAAAUAAGGGGAAAAAAAAAGUCCCAUUUCAAUACCAUAAAAUAAAAAGGGAGAAAAAAAAAAGUGGGUUCUGGUUCCUAAUUGCGUGAAGCUGUUGCGAUAAUUAUCUGUUGCAAUUUACAUAUGAGAAAGUCUAGGGAGCCAAUAGUCUAAGCGUACAAUGUGUACAAUGGAGGUUUAGGAAGUAUUAGAGAUAUGACCAUUAGUGUUACAUUGUUCUGUCAGGUUACGCUUUUGGGAUGAGUGGUUUCAGAUAUGGUAUUAGUGUUCUGAAUCCGAAAGGUCAAAAGUUCGAUUCUUGGUGAAUUCCAAAAAUAGUUUAAUUUUUUAUUGAGAUGUUUAUUAUCCUUGGUAUCCAGAUGGUUAUCCUUGGUAUCCGGAUGGUUAUUCUAGAUAGUAUGGUGAGUCCAUUGAACAUAUUGUCUUCGGGACAGUUUUUUAUACUUUUGUGUCCACUCUUUUACGAAGGACAAUGAUGGACACGGGAUUUGGAAGAGGGACACGAACUAUUUUUAUGAAUUUUUUUUUUGUCCAUGGUGCUAUUUUUUAUUAUUCCACUAUUACCCCUUCUUAUUUUUCCUAUUUUGCGUUAUUCUCAGA